rnacentral:tRNA from 1 species
GGUGUAUAGCUCAGUGGUAGAGCAUUCGGCUGCAGAUCGAGAGGCCUCUGGGUCAAACCCGGAUGUCCCCU